rnacentral:rRNA from 1 species
GGUGAAUGCUGGCGGCGUGGAUAAGGCAUGCAAGUCGAACGGUAGAGGGGGCAACCCCUCGAGAGUGGCGAACGGGUGAGUAAUAUAUCGGAACGUGCCCAGUCGUGGGGGAUAACGUAGAGAAAGUUACGCUAAUACCGCAUACGAUCUAAGGAUGAAAGCGGGGGAUCGCAAGACCUCGCGCGAUUGGAGCGGCCGAUAUCAGAUUAUGUAGUUGGUGGGGUAAAGGCUCACCAAGCCAACGAUCUGUAGCUGGUCUGAGAGGACGACCAGCCACACUGGAACUGAGACACGGUCCAGACUCCGACGGGAGGCAGCAGUGGGGAAUUUUGGACAAUGGACGCAAGUCUGAUCCAGCCAUUCCGCGUGCAGGAUGAAGGCCCUCGGGUUGUAAACUGCUUUUGUACGGAACGAAAAGGUCUCUCUUAAUACGGGGGACUCAUGACGGUACCGUAAGAAUAAGCACCGGCUAACUACGUGCCAGCCGCCGCGGUAA